rnacentral:rRNA from 1 species
AUACGUAGGAUCCAAGCGUUGUCCGGAAUUACUGGGUGUAAAGGGUGCGUAGGCGGGCUUGUGCGUCAGGGGUUAAAUCCCACGGCUUAACCGUGGAGCUGCCCUUGAUACGGCAAGUCUUGAGUAUGAGAGAGGAUGAUAGAAUUCCUGGUGUAGCGGUGAAAUGCGUAGAUAUCAGGAAGAAUACCAGUGGCGAAGGCGGUCAUCUGGCUCAUUACUGACGCUCAGGCACGAAAGCGUGGGGAGCGAACAGAAUUAGAAACCCCGGUAGUCC